AGAGAGGGAGAGAAGACGCAAGCGCAGCCGAGGUUAGAGGAGCGUGGCGGCGUCCUCCCCCCUCUCCCCCCCCUUAUCGAACGCCAUCAACCCCCUUCCCUCCCCACCGCCGUCACGCCAAAACCUCCUAUUUCCCUCUCCUACGGCCUUGCCCCUCGUCGCCCCUCUUGCCCCCGCGUGCCCUCGGACUCCAAGGCCCCUAGGGUGCGUUGAGCAACGCCCCCGAGGAGCCAAGGGGGUUUACUUUCGAGAGAAGCGGCGGAUUUGUCCCGUGGUCCGCGGGGCCGAGGGGGACGAGGCUGCGAGACCACCGCUUUAUAUUCGUUUCUUCCCGGGAUUCCUCGCGCCUACGGAAAUUCGCUCUAUUUUAACACUUACCAGGUAUAUAGUGUGAUCUCUUGGAUAUGGCAUCGUCAGAGUCGAUGUCUAAGGGCCUCUUCCUCGAGUCCGGGGUGCCGGGAGACGGGACGCACUCCUCCAUGGUACUGAUUCAAGGACAACGUGGGUAGCAUUAUGUGCUUCAAUCGUCUGACUUCGCAAAUUUCCUAAAAAUACGACUUACGAAAGCAUUACUCCACAAAUUUGCAGUGCUGAUCUAUUGAAUAUUUUCAAUUAAUUUGAAAAUGUUUCCACAUGUAUAGUAAGCUAUGAUGGCCGUGGUACUAUUGUUUGAUUAACAAAAAUAAAUAAAAGUUAAAGAAUA